UAUAUACUCCCUCCGUCCGGAAAUACUUGUCCUAAAAAUGAAUUUAAUGAAUGUAUCUAUAACUAAAAUAAGUCUAGAUACAUUCAUCUCUAGGACAAGUAUUUUCGGACGGAGGGAGUAGCUC
rfam:Hordeum vulgare subsp. vulgare, WGS project CAJW01000000 data, contig: morex_contig_808366